CUUAAAAUGAAUCCUAAUUUGUUCUUGAUAGUUUUUUAAGUGCUAUUGAAAUAACGCCCGUUUUGGGAUAAAACCUAUUAUUGGAUAAAGUUCCUUUUAUUUAACCGUACAGAAAACAAACACAAGAGUUCGCAUUAAUUUUCACUGGACACAUUUUAUGCCGAUUUAAUAUGACUAUAACACAGUGGCGGUACGCCUAGUGCACUUGUUGACCUGGCUAUGGAAUGAGGUUGUCAUGUCAAAACAAUGAUUGUACACGACAGGAU
rnacentral:lncRNA from 1 species